AAGAAGAUCAUGGAGUGGCUAAGCUUGGAUGUGGCUAUCUUUAUUUGAUGCCUUGCUCUUCAAGAUUGAUAUACUUAUGCAUUUAUGUGUUGCUUGAUUCUAAAUGUCCAAGGGAAUUUGGGUUUCUAUCGAUAUUCUUGUCUAUUGGAUUGCUACCCAUUGAUCAGAUCUUUUCAACCCUUAACUUUUAAUUUUGUGCAUAGGAUUAGUCUCUUCAUCUCCCCCCAUUUCUUUAAUUU
rnacentral:lncRNA from 1 species